rnacentral:rRNA from 1 species
GACAGAGGUCCCGAGCGUUAGGCGGAAUCACUGGGCUUAAAGCGUGUGUAGGCGGAUGCCUAAGUACCUUGUGAAAUCCCACGGCUCACCCGUGGAACUGCUUGGUAUACUGGGUGUCUUGAGCCACUCAGGGGCUACCGGAACAAACGGUGGAGCGGUGAAAUGCGUAGAUAUCAGGAGGAACACCGGUGGCGAAGGCGGGUCUCUGGGCCGAUACUGACGCUGAGGAGCGAAAGCGUGGGGAGCGAACAGG